AAAAUAAAAAUUCAGUUGUUCAUCAUCUUUGUGUUUCACUACCAUGCGCUCUGUCAUCGCCAAUGGAUUUAUCUUCGUGGUUCCGACGCAAACUCUUGAAGAAUAGCGAGGAGAACAAAAACCCAGAUCCCUCAGAGCAAACCCUCCUUCCCCAACAAAACGAAAAGGAAGAAGAGCAGCUGGGAGUCACAGAGCAAUUGGUCGAUCUUGUCAAGUCCUUCACUUUGGACACUUUCAGGAAUUUCCCACUUCCAGAUGGUGAGGGAGCUGAAGAAGAUGAAGAUCUGUCUGGAUGGCAGGAAAGGCAUGCCACCAUUGUGCUUUCAAGAGUUAAGGAGCUUUCACAUCUGAGAUAUAAGCUAUGCCCCCGCUACCUGAAGGAACAUGAAUUUUGGAGAGUGUACUUUAUGCUUGUCAAGAAACAAGUGGCGGCAUACGAGCUGCGUGCCAUACAGCAAGAGAGGAUCAAAGAAAUGGCAGUGGAGAACUGAGAAGUCUACAAAUACCAGUGCAUGUGAAGUUGAAAUGUCAGAGGCAAAGCAGGGAGCAAAAUUAGCGCCUCCAACGCCAUAGCAUCACAUAAAUUGCAGUAUGCAUUUCUUUUUAGCAGUAGGGAUGUAUUGGGUAGUAGGACUGUUCCGCUGGACAAAAACGUACGUAUAUGGUUAGAACAUGGAAACUUAUCCAUUCCAUUCAGUCCUUGUGCUGAUGAACCACUGACUUGUUAACGCUAAUUUCUGUACUGUCUUUAUUUAAGCUUCUGUUGGUCGA